GAUGAACGCUGGCGGCGUGCCUAAUACAUGCAAGUCGAGCGAACGGACGAGAAGCUUGCUUCUCUGAUGUUAGCGGCGGACGGGUGAGUAACACGUGGAUAACCUACCUAUAAGACUGGGAUAACUUCGGGAAACCGGAGCUAAUACCGGAUGAUAUUUUGAACCGCAUGGUUCAAAAGUGAAAGACGGUCUUGCUGUCACUUAUAGAUGGAUCCGCGCUGCAUUAGCUAGUUGGUAAGGUAACGGCUUACCAAGGCAACGAUGCAUAGCCGACCUGAGAGGGUGAUCGGCCACACUGGAACUGAGACACGGUCCAGACUCCUACGGGAGGCAGCAGUAGGGAAUCUUCCGCAAUGGGCGAAAGACUGACGGAGCAGCGCCGCGUGAGUGAUGAAGGUCUUCGGAUCGUAAAACUCUGUUAUUAGGGAAGAACAUAUGUGUAAGUAACUGUGCACAUCUUGACGGUACCUAAUCAGAAAGCCACGGCUAACUACGUG
rnacentral:rRNA from 1 species